rnacentral:rRNA from 1 species
GUCUAUGGUCAUACCACCCUGAACACGCCUGAUCUCGUCUGAUCUCAAAAGUUAAGCAGGGUCAGGCCUGGGUUAGUACUUGGAUGGGAGAAUGACCAAAAAGGAACCUUUUUAAAAAAACAGAUUUAUUAAUG